CGGGGGUGGCGGGGAGGGGG
rnacentral:miRNA from 1 species